UAAAAGGUAGUAGGAACUCUAACCUUCUCUUACGUAGAAGGAGAGAAUUUAAAUAUUCAUCUUAU
rnacentral:tRNA from 1 species